AAUUGAAGAAGAAGCUCCGGCUAACUCCGUGCCAGCAGCCGCGGUAAUACGGAGGGGGCUAGCGUUGUUCGGAAUCACUGGGCGUAAAGCGUAUGUAGGCGGAUCAAAAAGUUAGAUGUGAAAUCCCUGGGCUCAACCCAGGAACUGCAUUUAAAACUAGUGAUCUAGAAUUUGGUAGAGGUUAGUAGAAUUUCCAGUGUAGAGGUGAAAUUCGUAGAUAUUGGAAAGAAUACCAGUGGCGAAGGCGACUAACUGGGCCAUUUUUGACGCUGAGAUACGAAAGCGUGGGUAGCAAACAGGAUUAGAUACCCUGGUAGUCCACGCAGUAAACGAUGAGUGCUAGUCGCUGGGUCAAUAGUUUCAGUGUCGAAGCUAACGCAUUAAGCACUCCGCCUGGGAAGUACGGUCGCAAGAUUAAAACUCAAAUAAAUUGACGGGGGCCCGCACAAGCGGUGGAGCAUGUGGUUUAAUUCGAAGCAACGCGAAGAACCUUACCAGACCUUGACAUGGUGUGUUUGAAUUACAGAAUCGUAAUUCUUCAGUUCGGCUGGCACACACACAGGUGCUGCAUGGCUGUCGUCAGCUCGUGUCGUGAGAUGUUGGGUUAAGUCCCGCAACGAGCGCAACCCUCAUUUUUAGUUGCCAUCAGGUUAUGCUGGGCACUCUAAAAAAACUGCCGGUGAUAAGCUGGAGGAAGGCGGGGAUGACGUCAAGUCCUCAUGGCCCUUACGGUCUGGGCUACACACGUGCUACAAUGGUGGUGACAGUGGGCAGCAAUGUCGCAAGACAAAGCUAAUCCCAAAAGCCAUCUCAGUUCAGAUUGGACUCUGCAACUCGAGUCCAUGAAGUUGGAAUCGCUAGUAAUCGUAGAUCAGCAUGCUACGGUGAAUACGUUCUCGGGCCUUGUACACACCGCCCGUCACGCCAUGG
rnacentral:rRNA from 1 species